rnacentral:rRNA from 1 species
UACAGAGGAUGCAAGCGUUAUCCGGAAUGAUUGGGCGUAAAGCGUCUGUAGGUGGCUUUUAAGUCCGCCGUCAAAUCCCAGGCUCAACUCUGGACAGGCGGUGGAAACUACCAAGCUGGAGUACGGUAGGGGCAGAGGGAAUUUCCGGUGGAGCGGUGGAAAUGCGCAGAUAUCAGGAGGAACACCGGUGGCGAAGGCGGCCAGCUAGACCAGUUCUGACACUGAGGCGCGACAGCGUGGGGAGCAAACAGG